AUUGAACGCUGGCGGCAUGCCUUACACAUGCAAGUCGAACGGUAACAGGUUAAGCUGACGAGUGGCGAACGGGUGAGUAAUAUAUCGGAACGUGCCCAGUCGUGGGGGAUAACUGCUCGAAAGAGCAGCUAAUACCGCAUACGACCUGAGGGCGAAAGCGGGGGAUCGCAAGACCUCGCGCGAUUGGAGCGGCCGAUAUCAGAUUAGGUAGUUGGUGGGGGAAAGGCUCACCAAGCCAACGAUCGGUAGCUGGUCUGAGAGGACGACCAGCCACCCUGGGACUGAGACACGGCCCAGACUCCUACGGGAGGCAGCAGUGGGGAAUUUUGGACAAUGGGCGCAAGCCUGAUCCAGCCAUGCCGCGUGCGGGAAGAAGGCCUUCGGGUUGUAAACCGCUUUUGUCAGGGAAGAAAAGGUUCUGGUUAAUACCUGGGACUCAUGACGGUACCUGAAGAAUAAGCACCGGCUAACUACGUGCCAGCAGCCGCAGUAACAC
rnacentral:rRNA from 1 species